GCCCAAUUUAUAUCCCUACAGGCUACACCUCCGCAAGUAUAAGCAUACAAGAAAAGUGGCGUCUACCUGGCUUGGGUUGGGAGCUGGUGCGGCAGAUCGGUGGGAGGCUUGGAAGCGCUUUUGGCAUCCGAAAGCUGAGUUUGCAAUUAAAAAGGGGAAGAAGACGACGAAUGAGAUGAAUUCGAAGGGCUUUCAGUUAAAAUAAAUUUGGAAGAAAUGGGGAGUAGGGUUCCAGUGCAGCACUACAACAUGAGAUCGCCUAAUUCCUACAUUGGAAACCCUCUUCACGACCUCAACACCGUCGAUGCUCGCCCCUCCGCCGAAAUCGACUCCAUCAGCGACGUCGACCGCGACGCCGUCACUGAGCAUAGCCUCGACAACGACGACGGUUCCAGUGCCGUUGUUAAUGACUGUAUACAUGAAUCCUACACCAACUCUUUACCCAUCCACAGCGUCCGCGUAGGAGUUGAAGAAGACCGCUCGCGCCUUGAAAACCAUGGCGGCUCUUCCAGUUCCAGGGCUCCCUACGAUCUCUUAUCACUUCAAGAUGUGUCACCUAUUGAAUCAGCAAGGGCACGAUUUCUGCAACUUAUUGUGGAUCAUUUUAUUAGUGAACAUGUCGUUGAAGUGCCUAAUUCUGAGGCUGCUGCUGACUAUGAUAGUGCUCAGUCUGGCCAAGACAAACUCAAUAAGAGAAAGCCCGGGGAGGUCCGAUAUGAAGGGGACCCUAGACUGGCUUUGCCCCUGAUGUAUGUCGCAAAUAUGUACCAAACUUUGGUUAAUGAAGCAAAUAUUAGGCUUGAUUCCUUGAGUGGAUUUCGUGAGAAGACAAUUGGGGUUGCCCUUGAAGCUUCGGGUGGGUUGUACAGAUGCCUGGCUAAGAAAUUUCCAAAAAAAGGACCGUGUACAUUUAAAAGAAGAGAGUUGGCCACAUCUAUCGAAACAAGGACAAGAUUUCCAGAGUUGGUCAUACAAGACGAGAAGCGAGUUCGUUUUGUUGUAGUAAAUGGUUUGGAUAUUGUUGAAAAUCCUAAUAACAUGCCUACUGAUGAUGCAGAGUGGUUCAAACGAUUGACUGGUCGGAAUGAAGUAGCAGUCUAUGCUCGAGACUUUAAGUUCUAUUCUCCAAGACACAAGUAUAGACGUGUUGCAACAAACUCUUCACCUAAUAUUGCUGGUUUACCAACAUUUCCUGGCACUGAUAAUUCUUCCAUUUUGGCUGCUGCUCAGGGAUUCCGCUCCGUAAGUGAACCACAAAAUCAGCAGACGACUCCGUGUAAGCAUCAUAUGCAACCCUUGUUGCACCAACCUCAGUUUCAGCCUGUUCACCAGACUCAUCACCAAUCCAUCAACCAAAGUCCACAUGCUGUUCAUUAUUCUCAAAACCAUCAAUGUGGUGCUGCCUCGCACCUGCCCGAAAUUGCUCAUGCUCACCAUUCACCGACUAUAUCGCAACACAUGGUUUGCUUACAACCCCUCACAGGAGGCCAUGUAGGGGGGCGCAUGCAUGUAUUGCCAUCCAGUCCUGCCAAGUUUUGCGACGAAUGUGGGGUUCCAUACUUGAGAGAAACCUCUAAGUUCUGCUCAGAAUGUGGCGUUAAGAGGUUGGGAGUAUAAUAUGGCCUCUUAUCAAUUCUUCACUGCCCACCAUGAAGUAUAUUGAGUUCACAGCCAUGAAAACAUGAGGAAUCUACAGAAGAGCAGAUCUGCAUGCCAAUUUGUUCAUUCAACAAUUGGCUGCUGGAAAUAAAAAAUCAGCAACGACCAGAGGAAUGGUAAUCUUUUGAUUCGUUUUGGUGGGAGAGUGAGAAAUGCAAGAGAAGAGAAGCGCGAGGUAAAGUAAGCAAUUAUGCAAGUUGGGGGCUGGGCCCACAUGAUUGGGUUUCAUAUGGCAUCUGGGCCGCCCCUUCAGACUAACUUUGUACAAAAUGCCCAAUUCUUCUUGUUCCGGUUCUGUUUUAGUAAUUGACUAGCCUACGGCCUACACUACAGGCAGGUUAUUAUUUAA